GAUGAACGCUGGCGGCGUGCCUAAUACAUGCAAGUCGAGCGAACAGACGAGGAGCUUGCUCCUCUGACGUUAGCGGCGGACGGGUGAGUAACACGUGGAUAACCUACCUAUAAGACUGGGAUAACUUCGGGAAACCGGAGCUAAUACCGGAUAAUAUAUUGAACCGCAUGGUUCAAUAGUGAAAGACGGUUUUGCUGUCACUUAUAGAUGGAUCCGCGCCGCAUUAGCUAGUUGGUAAGGUAACGGCUUACCAAGGCAACGAUGCGUAGCCGACCUGAGAGGGUGAUCGGCCACACUGGAACUGAGACACGGUCCAGACUCCUACGGGAGGCAGCAGUAGGGAAUCUUCCGCAAUGGGCGAAAGCCUGACGGAGCAACGCCGCGUGAGUGAUGAAGGUCUUCGGAUCGUAAAAAUCUGUUAUUAGGGAAGAACAAAUGUGUAAGUAACUAUGCACGUCUUGACGGUACCUAGUCAGAAAGCCACGGCUAACUACGUG
rnacentral:rRNA from 1 species